UGUUCGCAUCAACAGUUGUUGUUGUUGAUUCGUGAGGAGCACGCAAAGGACGGUUUUUUUUUGAGUUUUAAGCAUAAUUUUCUGCUAAAUUUAUUGUUAUUUUUUUUUUAAGUAAUAUAGUUAGUCGGUAGAAAUUGCAAUUCUACAUCGACAAGUGAUGGUUGUCUCGACCAAAAUAGGUAAAAAAUGCAACAGUUUUGGAUGCGAAAAUCGCUCCGGUGUGGGGUUAGUUUCUUCCCGGUUGCCUGCCGUGAGAACAAAGUCUACCACCGGUGAACAAAACUUAUGCCCCGGUCAGGUGAAAGACACGAGCGGAUUUGCAGCCAGCAAUUUGUGGCCAACGAUUUCAUCGAAAAUACCAGAUAGAAACUACAUAACGUUGCAGUUCCAACGGUAAAGCUGCAAGACGGGAAAAUACUGCGUGGGACAGAAUGUUUGUCCCCAAAUGCAAGCCAUACAAAGCAAAGCGGGGUCUCCACCACUUCCCUACGCUCAAAUCCGUCCGUAUGAAGGACAAAGGCGUUGAGGAUGGAUGAAGCUGAAGCCCAAAAGCUACUGCGGUUCUGUACAGGAAGAUAACUAGGUUGGUUAAGAUUCCGCGGCGGUCGUUGAUACACCUGAUUCACCCACACACUUGAAGGACUACAAUUACACCAAAUAUGCAUGCAAACCACGGAGUAACCGAUUAUGUUUUGUGGAAGGAUGUCAAUAAAAAAAAACGGAAGGCAACAUAAAAUUUCACAAGACCUGCGGUAUAAAGUGGAUUCGGAUUUUGAAAUGCUCCAAGUUGCCAACACGAAAUUCAACAUUUUACAUUUCAGAAAGACCGACUAUCAGAGCCUAUCCCCUAAGCAUGCCUUGGCCGUUUCGAAUUCCGAUUCUCCGAAGUAAUCGUGACGAUUCCCCGGACGACUCCCUCUCGCACGACUUGAAGCGCUGGAUGUGGUGAGAAGCAGGUUGCUACUUCCCAGUGCAGUACCGCAAAUCACCAAAACCUAGCGGAUGCUUACGG
rnacentral:lncRNA from 11 species